ACGGGUGAGUAACACGUGGGCAACCUACCUUUAAGACUGGGAUAACUUCGGGAAACCGGAGCUAAUACCGGAUAACAUAUAAGACCACAUGGUCUUAUAUUAAAAGAUGGCUUCGGCUAUCACUUAUAGAUGGGCCCGCGGCGCAUUAGCUAGUUGGUGAGGUAAUGGCUCACCAAGGCGACGAUGCGUAGCCGACCUGAGAGGGUGAUCGGCCACACUGGGACUGAGACACGGCCCAGACUCCUACGGGAGGCAGCAGUAGGGAAUCUUCCGCAAUGGACGAAAGUCUGACGGAGCAACGCCGCGUGAACGAUGAAGGCUUUCGGGUCGUAAAGUUCUGUUGUUAGGGAAGAACAAGUACCAGAGUAACUGCUGGUACCUUGACGGUACCUAACCAGAAAGCCACGGCUAACUACGUGCCAGCAGCCGCGGUAAUACGUAGGUGGCAAGCGUUAUCCGGAAUUAUUGGGCGUAAAGCGCUCGCAGGCGGUCUUUUAAGUCUGAUGUGAAAGCCCACGGCUCAACCGUGGAGGGUCAUUGGAAACUGGGAGACUUGAGUGCAGAAGAGGAGAGUGGAAUUCCACGUGUAGCGGUGAAAUGCGUAGAGAUGUGGAGGAACACCAGGGGCGAAGGCGACUCUCUGGUCUGUAACUGAACGCUUAAGAAGCGAAAGCGUGGGGAGCGAACAGGAUUAAGAUCCCCGGGUAGUCCACGCCGUAAA
rnacentral:rRNA from 1 species